rnacentral:lncRNA from 1 species
AAGAAACUCUAGAGUGACAUCACUGAGAGAACUUUCAGAGCUGUUUUCAAACAAAGUACGCAUGUAUUAGAUUUGGAAAAGCGAGACAGGAGAUUUUUGUUAUAAUGUAAUAAAUUAAUUGUUCAUCUCAUUGGUGCCUCUUUCCAGUUCUUUGUGCCAGUAUUUUCCAUGUUGAGAGGGAACUAACCAACUUGUUUAGUGUUUAAAAUUAAUUUCCAAUUCAUGGCCUGGUAUUUUGACAGUGUAUUUUAAAGAGAAUUCACUUGCCAUAAGAUUGUUUCUUGCUGAGAACUAACCUACUAUAUUGCAGUCUGGUUGUGCGUGCACACCCCUCCUUUGCUGUGUAUUUGCAGAGGGUGCGCGUGAGGAAGACCUGGAUGCAGUAGAAGCUCAGAUCGGUUGCAAGCUCCCCGAUGACUAUCGCUGCUCAUACCGGAUCCACAAUGGGCAGAAGUUAGUGGUUCCAGGAUUGCUGGGAAGCAUGGCACUGUCAAAUCACUACCGCUCUGAAGAUUUAUUAGACGUUGACACUGCUGCCGGAGGAUUUCAGCAGAGACAGGGACUGAAAUACUGUCUCCCUUUAACCUUUUGCAUACAUACUGGCUUGAGUCAGUACAUAGCUGUGGAAGCUGCAGAGGGCCGAAAUAAAAACGAAGUGUUCUACCAGUGCCCAGAUCAAAUGGCUCGGAAUCCUGCUGCUAUUGACAUGUUUAUCAUAGGUGCUACUUUUACUGACUGGUUUACAUCCUAUGUCAACAAUGUUGUAUCAGGU